ACCUUAGAGACCAACUAAGUUUGUUAUUGGUAUGAGCUUUCGUGUGCAUGAACACUUCUUCAGUGCAUGCACACGAAAGCUCAUACCAAUAACAAUCUUAGUUGGUCUCUAAGGU